rnacentral:rRNA from 1 species
CAUGGGCGCAGCCUGUCCAGCCUGCCGCGUGAGUGAUGAAGGCCUUAGGGUUGUAAAGCUCUUUCACCGGGGAAGAUAAUGACGGUAACCGGAGAAGAAGCCCCGGCUAACUUCGUGCCAGCAGCCGCCGGUAAUAUUU